rnacentral:rRNA from 1 species
GAUGAACGCUAGCUACAGGCUUAACACAUGCAAGUCGAACGGCAGCACGGGUGCUUGCACCUGGUGGCGAGUGGCGAACGGGUGUGUAACAUAUCGGAACGUAUCCAAUAAUGGGGGAUAACUAAUCGAAAGGUUGGCUAAUACCGCAUACGCCCUACGGGGGAAAGCUAGGGACCUUCGGGCCUGGCGUUAAUGGAGCGGCCGAUAUCUGAUUAGCUAGUUGGUGGGGUAAUGGCCUACCAAGGCGACGAUCAGUAGCUGGUCUGAGAGGACGACCAGCCACACGGGAACUGAGACACGGUCCAGACUCCUACGGGAGGCAGCAGUGGGGAAUUUUGGACAAUGGGCGCAAGCCUGAUCCAGCCAUUCCGCGUGAGUGAAGAAGGCCUUCGGGUUGUAAAGCUCUUUCGCAAGGGAAGAAAACUUAUCCUCUAACAUAGGAUGAGGUUGACGGUACCUUGAUAAGAAGCACCGGCUAACUACGUGCCAGCAGCCGCCGUAAUAC